GUAGUCCGACGUGAAGUGAGUGACCGGAAAGGACAAGAGCCCCGAACCGACACGCGACUUGAUUUCUUCAGGCGACAAUGAAUUCCCUCCGGCUGCGAGCUUAAGACGGGA
rnacentral:sRNA from 1 species